UCACCGGGAGAAUAGAUUUGCUU
rnacentral:miRNA from 1 species